CUACAUACUUGACAGAGAAGAUUCUAUGAUCAUGAAGGUAGUUUUCCUAAUGUGAGGCUUAUCCAUUGCACUAAAUGUGCUAACCCCUGCAACUUCAAGAAUAUGGGAAACGACCAAAUAAUUUGUAGUUGUGGGGGACUGUGUGUGUGCUCUCCCCUA